rnacentral:rRNA from 1 species
AGAGUUUGAUCCUGGCUCAGAACGAACGUUGGCGGCGUGGAUUAGGCAUGCAAGUCGAACGAAUCCCAUCUGGGUAACUGGGUGGGGGAAGUGGCGAAAGGGGCAGUAAGGCGUGGGUAACCUACCCUGGGGAUGGGGAUAGCCUUCCUAACGGAAGGGUAAUACCCGGCGACGUAGCGUGAUCGCAUGGUUGUGCUACCAAAUGAGUUUCGCCCUGGGAGGGGCUCACGUAGUAUUAGCUUGUUGGUGAGGUGACGGCUCACCAAGGCCAAGAUGCUUAGCAGGUGUGAGAGCACGACCUGCGCCACUGGCACUGUGACACUGGCCAGACUCCUACGGGAGGCUGCAGUCGAGGAUCUUCGGCAAUGGGCGCAAGCCUGACCGAGCGACGCCGCGUGUGCGAUGAAGGCCUUCGGGUUGUAAA